GUAGAGACAGAGAGAGAGAGAGAGAGGGUAGAGACAGAGAGGGUAGAGACAGAGAGAGAGAGAGGGUAGAGACAGAGAGGGUAGAGACAGAGAGAGAGAGAGGGUAGAGACAGAGAGGUAGAGACAGAGAGAGAGAGAGAGAGAGAGGGUAGAGACAGAGAGAGAGGGUAGAGACAGAGAGAGAGAGAGGGUAGAGACAGAGAGAGAGAGAGGGUAGAGACAGAGAGAGAGAGGGUAGAGACAGAGAGAGGGUAGAGACAGAGAGAGGGUAGAGACAGAGAGAGAGAGGGUAGAGACAGAGAGAGAGAGAGAGAGAGGGUAGAGACAGAGAGGGGAGACAGAGAGAGAGAGAGAGAGAGGGUAGAGACAGAGAGAGAGAGGGUAGAGACAGAGAGAGAGAGGGUAGAGACAGAGAGAGAGAGGGUAGAGACAGAGAGAGAGAGGGUAGAGACAGAGAGAGAGAGAGGGUAGAGACAGAGAGAGAGAGAGGGUAGAGACAGAGAGAGAGAGAGGGUAGAGACAGAGAGAGAGAGAGGGUAGAGACAGAGAGAGAGAGAGGGUAGAGACAGAGAGAGAGGGUAGAGACAGAGAGAGAG
rnacentral:lncRNA from 1 species